GGGAAAGACGCCAAGGUCGGUUCCGACACUGACGACGCAGCCCAUGGCCGACUGGGUUGGACUGUGCUCUGCGGGCCGCAAAGCCCGGCGUCCCCGCGCCUCCCGAGACGUCCCAGGUACUAAGCAGACAAGUGCCUUGAACCAAGAAGAUGCUUCUCAAAGGAAAGCAGAACUAGAAGCAGCUGUCAGAAAGAAGAUUGAGUUUGAGAGAAAAGCUCUACAUGUUGUGGAACAGCUUUUAGAGGAGAAUAUUUCAGAAGAAUUCCUAAGGGAGUGUGGGAAAUUCAUCACACCUGCUCACUAUAGUGAUGUCGUGGAUGAGCGUUCUAUUAUCAAACUCUGUGGCUAUCCUUUAUGUCAGAACAAGCUAGGAAUUGUACCAAAACAGAAAUAUAAAAUUUCUACCAAAACUAAUAAAGUCUAUGAUAUUACUGAGAGAAAGUGUUUUUGCAGCAAUUUUUGUUAUAAAGCAUCUAAGUUUUUUGAAGCACAAAUUCCUAAAAGUCCAGUAUGGGUUCGCGAGGAAGAAAGACAUCCUGAUUUUCAGCUGCUACAAGAAGGACAAAGUGGUCCUUCUGGAGAAGAAAUACAGUUAUGCAGCAAAGCCAUUAAAACAUCAGAUAUUGACAAUCCUGGCCAUUUUGAGAAGCAUUAUGAAUCUAGUUCUUCUAGCACUCAUAGUGAUAGUAGCAGUGAUAAUGAGCAAGACUUUGUUUCCUCUGUUCUGCAAGGAAACAGACCAAAUGCAACAAGGCCACAGCUGCACAAAAAAAGCAUAAUGAAAAAGAAAGCUGGUCAAAAAGUUAACUCUCAGCAUGAAAGCAAAGAGCAAACAGUAGUAGAUGUCAUUGAGCAGUUAGGCAAUUGCAGAUUAGAUAAUCAGGAGAAAGCUACUGCUUGUGAACUUCCUUUACAGAAUGUAAAUACACAGAUUUCUUCAAAUAGUUCUCUGCAAGAAAAAUUAGAAGCUUCAGAAAUUUCUGAUAUUAAAUACAGUAGUUCAAAAGUAACUCUUGUAGGCAUAAGUAAGAAAAGUGCUGAGCAUUUUAAGAGGAAAUUUGCCAAAUCAAACCAAGUUUCUGGGUCAGCUUCCAGUUCAUUGCAGGUGUGCCCUGAAAUUGCAAAGGCAAACUUACUUAAAGCCCUGAAAGAGACUUUGAUUGAGUGGAAGACAGAAGAAACUUUGAGGUUUUUGUAUGGCCAGAAUUAUGCAUCUGUAUGUCUAAAAUCCUCUUCAACCCCUCUGGUUAAAGAAGAACUUGAUGAAGAUGAUACAAACUCUGACCCAGAUAGUCAUUCCCCUGCCUUGCAGGAGUUGAACAGCUUGGAUGAGUCUUUACCAUUUAGAGCCUCAGAUACAGCCAUUAAACCACUGCCAAGUUAUGAGAACUUGAAAAAAGAAACUGAAACAUUAAAUUUACGGAUCAGGGAGUUUUAUAGAGGACGGUAUGUUUUGAAUGAAGAAACCACCAAAUCACAGGACUCAGAAGAGCAUGAUCCCACCUUUCCACUGAUAGAUUCAAGUUCUCAGAACCAGAUCAGAAAACGCAUCGUACUUGAAAAAUUGUAUAAAGUAUUGCCUGGACUUUUGGGACCUCUUCAGAUUACAUUAGGAGAUAUUUACACACAACUUAAAAAUCUUGUCCAAACUUUCAGAUUAACAAAUAGAAAUAUUAUACAUAAACCUGCAGAGUGGACCUUAAUUGCUUUGGUGUUGCUGUCAAUAUUGACCUCAACUCUUGGCAUUCAGAAGCUUUCUCAGGAAAAUGUGAUGUUUACACAGUUCAUGACCACCCUGCUUGAAGAAUUGCAUUUAAGAAAUGAAGACCUUGAAAGUUUAACCAUCAUAUUUAGAACCAACUGUUAACCAGAAUGUCUCUAUGUCUUGCCUUAUCACCCUGGAUAGGAUCUUCACAACAAUAUUAAAAAGUGAAAGCCUCAGUCACCGAUUGGAGAACUUUCUUCUUUUCUAAGCUGUACAUAUCUACUAAGCUGUAUCCCAUGAAUUCUGAAAAGUUUCUUCAUCAUCAUUCAAAAUAUUUUAAAAUUUCUUUAGUGAUUUCUAAUUUGAUCCUUACAUUGUUUAAAGAUAUGCUAUUUUUACCAAAUAUCUGUUAAUAAUUUUAAAUUCCAUUCUUAUUAGAAAACAUACUCUGUAUGAUUUUAAUGUUUUACAUUUAUUGAGACUUGUUUUAUAAUUCAUAACAUGGCAUAAUGCUGUUGCUGAGCAGAGUGUUCUGUAAAUGUCAGUUGGAUCAUGUUGGUUGAUAGUAUUAUUAAUAUCAUCCAAAUCCCUACUGAUAUUGUCAGUUUAUCCUAUUAUUUACUAAAGGAGGAAUGUUGAAACCUCUAACAAUAAUAGUCGGUUUGUUAAUUUCUUUAUCAGUUUUUGUUGCAUGUAUUUUGAAACUUUGUUAUUGGAUGUACACACAUUUAGAAUUGUUAUGUCCUCCUGAUGGACUGUACUCUCAACUACUAUGAAAUGACCUUCUUUAUUCUAUAUGAAAUUUCUUGUUCUAAGAUAUCCUUUGCUAUUAAUAUAGUCAUGCUAGCUCUUUUCUGAUUGGUGUUUGCAUGGUAUAACUUCCAUCCUUUUACUUUUAAUCUACCUGUGUAUUUAUAUUUAAGGUAGAUUCCCUCUAGGCAGAGCACAGUCGGGUUUUGAUUUUUAUCCUAACUGGAUGAAAGUCUACCUCUGCCUUAUAAUUGGGGUGUUUAAACCCUUUAUAUUUGAUAACAAUAAUUAAUAUGGUUGGGUUUAAGUCUAUCAUCUUCAUAUUUGUUUUUUAUUUUGUCCUGUUUUCCCUUUUUGCCUGCCUAACUUUAUAUUAAGUAUUUUUAGCACUCCAAUUUAUCUCCAAUACUGAUUUAUCAGCUAUAGUUCUCUGUUUUUCCUUUUUGGUUUGGGGUUUUGUUUUUGCUUUAUUUAUUUUUUUAGUGAGUGCUCUAGGGUUUGAAAUAUGCAUAUUUUAUCUAUCACAUUGCACCUUCAAAUAAUAUCACUUGAAAUACAAUGCAAAAACCUAAUAAUAAACUUUAUAACUAUCAUCUCAUUCCUUCCAUCUGUACUACUAUUGUCAUACAUUUCACGUCUAUAUAUCAUCUAAACCCUGGCAUGCAUAUAAUUUUUGCUUUAAAUAGUCAACUGUAUUUUAAAUAAAAAUUUUAAUGAGAA